rnacentral:tRNA from 1 species
GUCCCUUCGUCUAGAGGCCCAGGACACCGCCCCUUUCACGGCCGGUAACAGGGGUUCGAAUCCCCUAGGGGACGCCA